ACGGGUGAGUAACACAUGGGAAACCUCCCUCAGAAUGGGGAACAUCUCCGAGAAAUCGGAGCUAAUACCGCAUAAGACCACAGUUCGGCAUCGAACAGGGGUAAAAGCAGCAAUGCGUUUUGAGAUGGUCCUGUGUCCUAUCAGCUAGUUGGUGGGGUAACGGCCUACCAAGGCUAUGACGGGUAUCCGGCCUGAAAGGGUGAACGGACACACUGGAACUGAGACACGGUCCAGACUCCUACGGGAGGCAGCAGUGGGGAAUUUUGGACAAUGGGCGCAAGCCUGAUCCAGCGACGCCGCGUGGAGGACGAAGGCCUUCGGGUUGUAAACUCCUUUUGGAGGGGAAGAAUAAAUUGACGGUACCCUCAGAAAAAGCCACGGCUAACUACGUGCCAGCAGCCGCGGUAAUACGUAGGUGGCGAGCGUUACUCGGAAUUACUAGGCGUAAAGCGUAUGUAGGUGGUUAGAUAAGUCUAUGGUGAAAUUUCCUGGCUUAACUGGGAAGGGACAUAGAUACUAUCUGGCUUGAGUGUGGGAGGGGGAGACGGAAUUCCUGGUGUAGCGGUGAAAUGCGUAGAUAUCAGGAGGAACACCGAUGGCGAAAGCAGUCUCCUGGCCCAAUACUGACAUUGAGGUACGAAAGCUAGGGUAGCAAACAGGAUUAGAUACCCUGGUAGUCCUAGCUGUAAACGAUGUUCACUAGAUGUGGGAGGUAUCGACCCCUUCCGCGUCGACGCUAACGCAUUAAGUGAACCGCCUGGGGGAGUACGGCCGCAAGGUUGAAACUCAAAGGAAUUGACGGGGGCCCGCACAAGCGGUGGAGUAUGUGGUUUAAUUCGACGCAACGCGAAAAACCUUACCUGGGCUUGAACUGCUAAUGGUAAAAGCUGGAAACAGUGA
rnacentral:rRNA from 1 species